CAGUCGCCACGGUAAAACGAAGGGGGCUAGCGUUGCUCGGAAUCACUGGGCGUAAAGGGUGCGUAGGCGGGUCUUUAAGUCAGGGGUGAAAUCCUGGAGCUCAACUCCAGAACUGCCUUUGAUACUGAAGAUCUUGAGUUCGGGAGAGGUGAGUGGAACUGCGAGUGUAGAGGUGAAAUUCGUAGAUAUUCGCAAGAACACCAGUGGCGAAGGCGGCUCACUGGCCCGAUACUGACGCUGAGGCACGAAAGCGUGGGGAGCAAACAGGAUUAGAUACCCGCGUAGUCCCUGUCUCUUAUAC
rnacentral:rRNA from 1 species